AAGCAUCUACUGAUAGACCUGAAGCCUCUCCCAGUGGCAUCUGGGUUUGCAAUCUGAUGCGAGAGAAGUUUCCUUGCGCUUUCUGCCCUGUGGCGCUUUCUGUCCUGUGGCAAGGUGGAUUGAAUAGAGGAAGACAGUC